rnacentral:rRNA from 1 species
AUUGAACGCUGGCGGCAGGCCUAACACAUGCAAGUCGAGCGGAUGAAGGGAGCUUGCUCCUGGAUUCAGCGGCGGACGGGUGAGUAAUGCCUAGGAAUCUGCCUGGUAGUGGGGGAUAACGUCCGGAAACGGGCGCUAAUACCGCAUACGUCCUGAGGGAGAAAGUGGGGGAUCUUCGGACCUCACGCUAUCAGACGAGCCUAGGUCGGAUUAGCUAGUUGGUGGGGUAAAGGCCUACCAAGGCGACGAUCCGUAACUGGUCUGAGAGGAUGAUCAGUCACACUGGAACUGAGACACGGUCCAGACUCCUACGGGAGGCAGCAGUGGGGAAUAUUGGACAAUGGGCGAAAGCCUGAUCCAGCCAUGCCGCGUGUGUGAAGAAGGUCUUCGGAUUGUAAAGCACUUUAAGUUGGGAGGAAGGGCAGUAAGUUGAUACCUUGCUGUUUUGACGUUACCAACAGAAUAAGCACCGGCUAACUUCGUG